GUGGCGAACGGGUGAGUAACGCGUGAGGAACCUGCCUCGGAGUGGGGGACAACAGUUGGAAACGACUGCUAAUACCGCAUAAUGUGCCGGAAGGGCAUCCUUCCGGUACCAAAGCUUUAUGUGCUCUGAGAUGGCCUCGCGUCUGAUUAGAUAGUUGGUGGGGUAACGGCCUACCAAGUCUGCGAUCAGUAGCCGGGUUGAGAGACUGAACGGCCACAUUGGGACUGAGAUACGGCCCAGACUCCUACGGGAGGCAGCAGUGGGGAAUAUUGGGCAAUGGGGGAAACCCUGACCCAGCAACGCCGCGUGAAGGAAGAAGGCUUUCGGGUUGUAAACUUCUUUUACCAGGGACGAAGGACGUGACGGUACCUGCAGAAUAAGCCACGGAUAACUACGUGCCAGCAGCCGCGGUAAUAC
rnacentral:rRNA from 1 species